GAGCUUUUAAACAGGCCACCCUCCACAGGCUGGUUUUCACUCUCACUUCACAGAACUUCAUUUCAGACUCCCUCCAUGUUGUUCAUCAAAAUCUCUGUGCCCAGGAAAGCGAUUGCUCCAGGCUAGUUUUGGCAGAAGAGCUUGUUCCUCAAAAGAAGCAAGGGAUGGAACAAAUUCAGAAGCAGGACACAGUGAAAUUUUCUGGCUGAGUAGGCAACCAAGUCUGCAAGACUCAAGUCUCAAAACAUCACUCUAUCUUUCAAAGGGCAGAUCUUGCAGAAGAAUGGACAGAUGAUGGAGUUUUACCUCACUGCUGUUGGAGUUUUGAAGUUGAAGUCAAUGAAAGUGUGGCAGCGGCUGAAGGAAGAUGAGAGCUGUGGGGAACCGGGAAAGUUACCAUCUCUGUAAGUGGGACUUAAUGUGUUAGGGGUGAUGAAGCCUCUGAUAAUUUCUGUAUGCUUGGAAGCGAAGAAAAAAAAAAGACUAAAAGCUGCAGAGAAUAAAGACCUAAUUAUCUCUGUCUUCUAAGCCUCG
rnacentral:lncRNA from 1 species